rnacentral:snRNA from 1 species
GUGCUCGCUUUGGCAGCACAUAUACUAAAAUUGGAACGAUACAGAGAUUAGCAUGGCCCCUGUGCAAGGAUGACACGCAAAUUCGUGAAGCGUUCCAUUUUUUG